AGUCUACUUCCAUCCAGGAUCACGAAAAGGAAAAUGGACAAAACCCAACACGAUUGAUGUUUCCCUGAACCAAACUCCUUGUCGAAGGGGGAAGCAUGUAAACAUACCAUGUGAUUGCCAACUAAUUCUUUCAUCAUUAGUAAUUUUUUUAAUAAUGUUCCCAAAUCAUUCAUCUUUGAGUUGGUAAGAUGUCCCAAUUACCAUUAAUCCAAUGUUAAAUCACAUUCUAAUAGAAUGGUGCAGGUUUUCCGAAUUCUUUUAUUUGGACUGAGACGAAUUUUACAUAU
rnacentral:misc_RNA from 1 species